UACGUAGGCAGCAAGCGUUGUUCGGAAUUACUGGGCGUAAAGCGUGUGUAGGCGGUGCUCUAAGUUCGGUGUGAAAUCUCCCGGCUUAACUGGGAGGGUGCGCCGGAAACUGGAGUGCUCGAGCGUGGGAGAGGAAAGCGGAAUUCCUGGUGUAGCGGUGAAAUGCGUAGAUAUCGGGAGGAACACCUGUGGCGAAAGCGGCUCACUGGACCACAACUGACGCUGAGGCGCGAAAGCUAGGGGAGCAAACAGG
rnacentral:rRNA from 1 species